rnacentral:rRNA from 1 species
AUGCAAGUCGAGCGAAGCUUUUCAGUAGUUUACUACAGAAAAUGACUGAGCGGCGAACGGGUGAGUAACGCGUGAGCAAUCUACCUUAGUUACUGGGAUAGCCCGAGGAAACUCGGAUUAAUACCGGAUAAUCUUAUUACAUCACAUGAUAUUUUAAGUAAAGGUCAGCCGAACUAAGAUGAGCUCGCGUUCUAUCAGCUUGUUGGUGGGGUAAAAGCCUACCAAGGCUACGACGGAUAGCUGGUCUGAGAGGACGAUCAGCCACACUGGGACUGAGACACGGCCCAGACUCCUACGGGAGGCUGCAGCAGGGAAUAUUGCGCAAUGAGCGAAAGCUUGACGCAGCGACACCGCGUGUGGGAUGACGGUUCUAGGAUUGUAAACCACUUUCAGGAGGGAAGAAAAUGACGGUACCUCCACAAGAAGCCCCGGCCAACUACGUGCCAGCAGCCGCGGUAAUACGUAGGGGGCGAGCGUUGUCCGGAUUUAUUGGGCGUAAAGAGCUCGUAGGCGGUUCAACAAGUCGGUCGUGAAAGUUCAGGGCUUAACCCUGAAAUGUCGAUCGAUACUGUUGUGACUAGGAUAUGGUAGAGGUGAGUGGAAUUCCGAGUGUAGCGGUGAAAUGCGUAGGUAUUCGGAGGAACACCAAUAGCGAAGGCAGCUCACUGGACCACUAUCGACGCUGAGGAGCGAAAGCUAGGGGAGCAAACAGGAUUAGAUACCCUGGUAGUCCUAGCUGUAAACGAUGGAUACUAGAUGUAGGAAUUGGAUUGACGAUUUCUGUAUCGUAGCUAACGCGUUAAGUAUCCCGCCUGGGGAGUACGGUCGCAAGACUAAAACUCAAAGGAGUUGACGGGACCCCGCACAAGCGGCGGAGCAUGCGGCUUAAUUCGAUGAUACCCGUAGAACCUUACCUGGACUAGACAUAUAGGGAAAAGCUAUAGAAAUAUAGUGUGCGU